CACAUGCAAGUCGAGCGGUAACAGAAAGUAGCUUGCUACUUUGCUGACGAGCGGCGGACGGGUGAGUAAUGCUUGGGAACAUGCCUUGAGGUGGGGGACAACAGUUGGAAACGACUGCUAAUACCGCAUAAUGUCUACGGACCAAAGGGGGCUUCGGCUCUCGCCUUUAGAUUGGCCCAAGUGGGAUUAGCUAGUUGGUGAGGUAAUGGCUCACCAAGGCAACGAUCCCUAGCUGGUUUGAGAGGAUGAUCAGCCACACUGGAACUGAGACACGGUCCAGACUCCUACGGGAGGCAGCAGUGGGGAAUAUUGCACAAUGGGCGAAAGCCUGAUGCAGCCAUGCCGCGUGUGUGAAGAAGGCCUUCGGGUUGUAAAGCACUUUCAGUCAGGAGGAAAGGGUGUGAGUUAAUACCUCACAUCUGUGACGUUACUGACAGAAGGAGCACCGGCUAACUCCGUGCCAGCAGCCGCGGUAAUACGGAGGGUGCGAGCGUUAAUCGGAAUUACUGGGCGUAAAGCGUACGCAGGCGGUUUGUUAAGCGA
rnacentral:rRNA from 1 species